GCCUGGCUGACUCAGUCAUUAGAGCGCAAGACUCCUGAUUUUGGGGUCGUGAGUUUGAGCUCACGUUGGGUG
rnacentral:tRNA from 1 species